CAGCCGCCGCGGUAAUGCAGAGGUCCCGAGCGUUGUUCGGAUUCAUUGGGCGUAAAGGGUGUGUAGGAGGUCGGGUAAGUCAGGUGUGAAAUCUCACAGCUUAACUGUGAAACUGCGCUUGAUACUGCUCGGCUAGAGGAUCGGAGGGGGUAACGGAAUUUAUGGUGUAGCAGUGAAAUGCGUAGGUAUCAUAAGGAACACCGGUGGCGAAGGCGGUUACCUGGAAGAUUCCUGACUCUGAAACACGAAAGCCAGGGGAGCAAACGGGAUUAGAUACCCGAGUAGUCCCUGUCUCUUAUAC
rnacentral:rRNA from 1 species